rnacentral:piRNA from 1 species
UGCAAAAAGGUGUUUUCUUUCCUGGGAAUGA